rnacentral:misc_RNA from 1 species
AAGUCGUAACAAGGUUUCCGUAGGUGAACCUGCGGAAGGAUCAUUAUUACGUUAUCCAACGUCAAACCCAAUUGUGAAAUGUUUAAAUCGGGAGCGGAAUGAGAGUAUUUGCGACAAAAGGUUCAUGACUUAAUAGUGGCUUUUGUCGGUCCUAACACUGUAAUGGUGUUAGCUCAUUUCAUUUCUGUUAUUGUCAAUUCCCGGCAUGAACAAUUGUAACUUUUUAAACCCCAAGUACAAAAUAUUGAACUAAACCUUUGUUCUGACCGCCUCGGUGGUUCAGAUCAGAAAUCUGAAAUUAAGAAACAACUCUUAACAACGGAUAUCUUGGUUCUC